rnacentral:rRNA from 1 species
UACGUAGGGUCCGAGCGUUGUCCGGAAUUAUUGGGCGUAAAGGGCUCGUAGGCGGUUCGUCACGUCGGGAGUGAAAACUCGGAGCUUAACUCCGAGCCUGCUUCCGAUACGGGCAGACUAGAGGUAGGCAGGGGAGAGCGGAACUCCUGGUGUAGCGGUGGAAUGCGCAGAUAUCAGGAAGAACACCGGUGGCGAAGGCGGCCCGCUGGGCAGGAAGACGGGCAACCCGUCGGCUGACACUGAGGCGCGACAGCGUGGGGAGCAACAGG